rnacentral:misc_RNA from 1 species
AAUCAUCAAUUCUCAACUUCUGUAAUGGUUGUUGUUGAAUUGGACUUGGGGACUUGCUGAUUCUAGUGUUGAACUGGCUUCCCUCAAAUGCAUUAGCUGAAGUCUUACAAGCAGCAUAUAUGCGGUGUGAUAAUAUCUUCACUGCAUUGCUCUUGUUGAAUUCGGCUUCUAAUAGUCCUUCAAUUGGACAAUACUUUGACA